UCUUACUAAUUGUAUUUGUUUUUUUAACAUUAAAAAUGGUUUUUAACUAUUAUUAAUUUCUGUAAUAUAUCAAAAUCUGUAAUAUUUGGGGGUCACAUUGUUAUACACUUACCGGUUUAGGAAUACAGCUCCUUGUGAAUAAUAUUUUUUUACUAUUUGGAGUAACAAUUUUCUUUACCUCUAACAAUGUCCCUUUAUCUAUUGGUCUGAUAGUAACCUGCCAGGUUUUUAUUUUUCAUCACCUUUUCCUACUUUCAUUAUGAUUAAGCUUUAGUCCACUUUUAAAUAACUGGAGUCAGGUUUUAUUAGUUUUGAUACAAGCUGAGAAACCUCCUUUUU